rnacentral:tRNA from 1 species
GAGAAAGACAUAGUGGUUAUGGGGUUGGCUUGAAACCAAUCUUUGGGGGUUCAAAUCCUUCCUUUCUUG